CCAGGUGAGCAUCUUACAGCCUGGAGCAGCGCCCACACCCCCAGGUGAGCAUCUGACAGCCUGGAGCAGCACCCACACUCCCAGGUGAGUAUCUGACAGCCUGGAGUAGCACCCACACCCCCAGGUGAGCAUCUGACAGCCUGGAACAGCAUCCACUCCCCCAGGUGAGCAUCUGACCACAUUGAAUGGCAUCCUCACCUCCAGGUGAGCAUCUGACAGCCUGGAACCGCACCCACACCCCCAGGCGAGCAUCUGACAGCCUGGAGCAGCACCCACACCCCCAGGUGAGCAUCUGACAGCCUGGAGCAGCACCCACACCCCCAGGGGAGCAUCUGACCGCAUGGAAUGUCAUCCUCACUUCCAGGUGAGCAUCCGACAGCCUGGAGCAGCACCCACACCCCCAGGUGAGCAUCUGACCGCAUGGAAUGGCAUCCUCACCUCCAGGUGAGCAUCCGACAGCCUGGAACAUAAUUCUCCAACCCCAGGUGAGCAUCUGACAGCCUGGAACAGCAUCCACACCCCCAGGUGAGCAUCUGACCGCAUGGAAUGGCAUCCUCACCUCCAGGUGAGAAUCUGACACCAUAAAACAGCACCCUGCACCCCCAGGUGAGCAUCUGACAGCCUGGAACAGCAUCCACACCCCCAGGUGAGCAUCUGACCGCAUGGAAUGGCAUCCUCACCUCCAGGUGAGCAUCCGACAGCCUGGAACAGAAUUCUCCAACCACAGGUGAGGAUCUGACAGCCUGGAACAGAACCCCACUCUUCCAGGUGAGAAUCUGACGCAUAAAACAGCACCCUGCAACCCCAGGUGAGCAUCUGACAGUCUGGAACAGCAUCCACACCCCCAGGCGAGCAUCUGACUGUAUGGAAUGACAUCCUCACAUCCAGGUGAGAAUAUGACAGAAUAAAGCAGCACCCUGCACCCCCAGUUGAGCAUCUGACAGCCUGGAACAGCACCCACACUCCCAGGUGAGCAUCUGACAGCCUGGAGCAGUACCCACACCCCCAGGUGUGCAUCUGACAGCCUGAAACAGCACCCUCCACCACCAGAUGAGCAUCUGACAACCAGAACCUGCACCACACACCCCAAGGUGGGCAUCCGAUGGCAUGGGACAGCACCCCCACUCACAGGUGAUGUGACUGCGUGGAACAGCACAUCCCCUCAGGUGAGCAUCUGACAGCCUGGAACAGAACCCCACAACUUCAAAUAAGAAUUUGAUAAGUGGGAAAAAGCUCCCCGCCCUCAGGUGAGUGUCUGACAGCCUGGAACAGCACCCCACAACUGCAGGUGAGCAUCUGAUAGCCUGGAUAGGCACUCCACACAGCCAGGUGAGCAGCUGAAAGCCUGGAAUGGUAACCCACAUGCAGGUGAGCAUCCGACAGCCUGGAACAGCAGCUCACAUCCCCAGGUAAGAUUCCAACAGCAUGGAACAAGACCACUGCCCCCAGGUGAGCAUCUGGCAGCCUGGUAAAACAACCCCCUUCAGGUGAGCAUCCGACAGCCUGGAACAGCAGCUCACAUCCCCAGGUAAGAUUCCAACAGCAUGGAACAAGACCACUGCCCCCAGGUGAGCAUCUGGCAGCCUGGAAAAACAACCCCCUUCAGGUGAGCAUCUGACAGCCUGGAACAGCACCCUCCACCUUCAGGUGAGAAUAUGACAGCCUGAAACAGCACCCCACACCCCAGGCAAAAAUCUGACAGCAUGGAACAAGACCACUGCCCCCAGGUGAGCAUUUGACAGCCCGGGAAAGUACCCUCCAUGCACAGGUGAGCAUCUGACAGCCUGGAAACCCCCCCACUGCUUCCAGGUGAACAUCUGAUAGCCUGGAACAGAACCCCAGUUCUCCAAGUAAGGAUCUGAAAGCACGGAACAGCACUCUCACCCCCAGGGGAGCAUCUGACAACCUAGAACAGCACCCUCACCCCGAGGUGGGCAUCUGGCAGCAUAAAACAGCACCCCUACUGGCAGAUGAGCAUAUGACAGCGUGGAACAGCACCCACGCACCCAGGUGAGCAUCUGACAGCCUGGAACAGCACCCCACACCCCCAGGUGAGCAUCUGACAGCCUGGAACAGCACCCACACCCCCAGGUGAGCAUCUGACAGCCUGGAGCAGCACCCUACACCCCCAGGGGAGCAUCUGACAGUCUGGAGCAGCACCCACACCCCCAGGUGAGCAUCUGACAUCCUGGAACAGCACCCCACGCCCCCAGGUGAGCACCUGACAGCCUGGAACAGCACCCCACACCCCCAGGUGAGCAUCUGACAGCCUGGAACAGCACCCACACCCCCAGGUGAGCAUCUGACAGCCUGGAGCAGCACCCCACACCUCCAGGGGAGCAUCUGACAUCCUGGAACAGCACCCCACACCCCCAGUGAGCAUCUGACAACCUGGAGCAGCACCCCACACCUCCAGGGGAGCAUCUGACAUCCUGGAACAGCACCCCACACCUCCAGGGGGAGCAUCUGACAGCCUGGAGCAACACCCCACACCUCCAGGGGAGCAUCUGACAGCCUGGAACAGCACUCCACACCUCCAGGGGAGCAUCUGACAGCAUGGACAAGUCCUGCCCCCCGAACUCCAGCCCUUAAGAAAAUCAGAAGCCCUGGCAGGCACAUUGCCUCUGUGCUGUGCUUUUACCCAGCGAAGCAUCAGGGCAGACAGCCAAUUUCAACACUGCUCUUGGCUGGGAAGUGCCCUCAUCUCUGGCAGCCCCCACAGAGAAAGUGCAGGGCCCCGGGGCUGUGGCUGCCUCAGGGCAGGUCUCCCUUGUGACAGCCUCUUGUCAUGGGCCUGGGAGUGGACCCCUCCCAUCCCUGCCGUGCAUCCUGUUGAGUAGACAGCUCAGGCUAGUACCCAAGAGGGUGGCCAGCAGAUCACAGGGGAUGUCCCUUUUGUCUUAGCUGUUUAUGGGCUGGAGGAACCACUGUUCAGCCACAUCUCCUCUCCUGCCCCUCCUGCAUUCACCCGAGGUUGAUGGGAGCUCUGUGGGGGGAGACAGGCAGGGGAGGGGCCAGGCAACACCUGGGCAUAUCCCCAGGGUGCCUCCUCUGAUCCCCAGGAGGGGCAGCACCCACCCUCUUCUUUUUCCAAUUUGUUUUUAUUGUGGUUAAAUAUACAUAACGUAAAAUUUA
rnacentral:lncRNA from 1 species